rnacentral:rRNA from 1 species
AUUCCAGCUCCAAUAGCGUAUAUUAAAGUUGUUGCAGUUAAAGAGCUCGUAGUUGGAUUUCUGGUUGGAGCGACCGGUCGGGCAUUGAUUUGUCUGCACUGGAGUCGGUUCUGGCCAUCCUCUUGGAAAGUGCGUCUGUCAUUAAGUUGUCGGGCGUAUGAUCCAGGUCUUUUACUGUGAAAAAAUUAGAGUGUUUAAAGCAGGCCUUCGCCUUGAAUACAUUAGCAUGGAAUAAUAAGAUAGGACUUUGGUCUAUUUUGUUGGUUUGCAGACCGAAGUAAUGAUUAAUAGGGAUAGUUGGGGGUAUUUAUAUUCCAAUGUCAGAGGUGAAAUUCUUAGAUUUUUGGAAGAUAAACUUAUGCGAAAGCAUUUACCAAGGAUGUUUUCAUCA